AGUCGAGCGAGGUCCAUCCAGUGGUAACACUGGUGAAGACCUAGCGGCGAACGGGUGAGUAACACGUGAGAAACCUGCCCCGAAGACUGGGAUAACUCUCCGAAAGGAGAGCUAAUACCAGAUGCCCUCACCGGGCCGCAUGACUUGGUGAGGAAAUGGAUUCCGCUUCGGGAGGGUCUCGCGGCCUAUCAGCUUGUUGGUGAGGUAACGGCUCACCAAGGCUUCGACGGGUAGCUGGUCUGAGAGGAUGAUCAGCCACACUGGGACUGAGACACGGCCCAGACUCCUACGGGAGGCAGCAGUGGGGAAUCUUGCGCAAUGGGCGAAAGCCUGACGCAGCAACGCCGCGUGGGGGAUGAAGGCUCUCGGGUUGUAAACCCCUUUCAGCAGGGAAGAUUAUGACGGUACCUGCAGAAGAAGCCCCGGCCAACUACGUGCCAGCAGCCGCGGUAAUACGUAGGGGGCAAGCGUUGUCCGGAUUUAUUGGGCGUAAAGAGCUUGUAGGCGGCUUGGUAAGUCGAGUGUGAAAACUCCAGGCUCAACCUGGAGACGCCAUUCGAUACUGCCAUGGCUAGAGUCCGGUAGAGGAGCACGGAAUUCCUGGUGUAGCGGUGAAAUGCGCAGAUAUCAGGAGGAACACCAGCAGCGAAGGCGGUGCUCUGGGCCGGUACUGACGCUGAGAAGCGAAAGCGUGGGGAGCGAACAGGAUUAGAUACCCUGGUAGUCCACGCCGUAAACGUUGGGCACUAGGUGUGGGUCCCUAUCGACGGGAUCUGUGCCGUAGCUAACGCAUUAAGUGCCCCGCCUG
rnacentral:rRNA from 1 species